CAGUGAAUUUGAAUUCAAUGCAACAGCUAUAAAUUUGUUUCCAGCUGAUAUACCUACCAAAAAACUUGACAAUGAGGUGGAAGGAAAUACAUUCCAAAACAGUGACUUUGACGAAGUCUGAGUAUCAGCUUGAUCCGUUGCCAAGUACUCCAAUUCUGUUUGUGAAUAUUUGUAUAGAUAAAUUAGUUAGAAAAAUGUAAUGUUCUCAUUCUUUUUUGUUCAUAAAUUUUGAGUGUAAUUGUUCACUCCUGAAGAUGAAAGUGGUUUGAGAUAUCCAUGUAAUGAAUAAAUGAUUAUGUUAA